rnacentral:rRNA from 1 species
AACGAACGCUGGCGGCAUGCCUAACACAUGCAAGUCGAACGAGAUCUUCGGGUCUAGUGGCGCACGGGUGCGUAACGCGUGGGAAUCUGCCCUUUGGUUCGGAAUAACAGUUGGAAACGACUGCUAAUACCGGAUGAUGACGAAAGUCCAAAGAUUUAUCGCCAGAGGAUGAGCCCGCGUAGGAUUAGCUAGUUGGUGUGGUAAAGGCGCACCAAGGCGACGAUCCUUAGCUGGUCUGAGAGGAUGAUCAGCCACACUGGGACUGAGACACGGCCCAUACUGCUACGGGAGGCAGCAGUGGUGAAGAGUGGGCAAUGGGCGAAAGCCUGAUCCAGCAAUGCCGCGUGAGUGAUGAAGGCCUUAGGGUUGUAAAGCUCUUUACCCGGGAUGAUAAUGACAGUACCGGGAGAAUGAGCUCCGGCUAACUCCGUGCCAGCCGCCGCGGUAA